AUACGGAGGGUGCAAGCGUUACUCGGUAUCACUGGGCGUAAAGGACGCGUAGGCGGGAAGCCAAGUCUGAUGUGAAAUCCUAUGGCUUAACCAUAGAACUGCAUUGGAAACUGGUUACCUAGAGUAUGGGAGGGGGAGAUGGAAUUAGUGGUGUAGGGGUAAAAUCCGUAGAUAUCACUAGGAAUACCGAAAGCGAAGGCGAUCUCCUGGAACAAUACUGACGCUAAGGCGUGAAAGCGUGGGGAGCAAACGGGAUUAGAUACCCCAGUAGUCC
rnacentral:rRNA from 1 species